rnacentral:tRNA from 1 species
GUAUAGCUCAGUGAUAGAGCGCAUGCUUAGAAUGCAUGAGGUCCUGGGUUUCACCCCCCCAAUAC